UAUAAUUUCAAUUUUUAUAAAUAAAUAUUGCUGUGUGAACUACACAUAAAACUACGUCAAAUCUAAAAGUUCUCCAAAUAAUUCUAACAUGGUAUUCAAUUAUUUCACACAAUAUGUAUAUUAAAUUAAAAUUCAUUGGAUAUGUAAUUAAGAUCUCAAACUAAUUUUAUCAAACAAGAGACGAAAUUAGAGAAAUUAUAAAUAGAAAAAUUGAAAUUCUUAAAUUUUUCAGCAUUAAGAUCUUAAUUGGAAUUGACCCCAAACUCCAGGAUUUUCUUUUCAUCUACGUUUAAAGGGUUCACUUGUGCCUAAUAGAGUUGAAUGGCGAAAAA
rnacentral:misc_RNA from 1 species